rnacentral:rRNA from 1 species
AGUGAACGCUGGCGGUAGGCCUAACACAUGCAAGUCGAACGGCAGCACAGUAAGAGCUUGCUCUUACGGGUGGCGAGUGGCGGACGGGUGAGGAAUACAUCGGAAUCUACUUUUUCGUGGGGGAUAACGUAGGGAAACUUACGCUAAUACCGCAUACUACCUACGGGUGAAAUCAGGGGAUCUUCGGACCUUGCGCGAUUGAAUGAGCCGAUGUCGGAUUAGCUAGUUGGCGGGGUAAAGGCCCACCAAGGCGACGAUCCGUAGCUGGUCUGAGAGGAUGAUCAGCCACACUGGAACUGAGACACGGUCCAGACUCCUACGGGAGGCAGCAGUGGGGAAUAUUGGACAAUGGGCGAAAGCCUGAUCCAGCAAUACCGCGUGGGUGAAGAAGGCCUUCGGGUUGUAAAGCCCUUUUGUUGGGAAAGAAAAGCAGCAGGUUAAUACCCCGCUGUUCUGACGGUACCCAAAGAAUAAGCACCGGCUAACUUCGUG